rnacentral:piRNA from 1 species
AACUCAUUAUGUCACUGAACUACUUAGC